GGUGUCCGAGUGGUUGAAGGAGCACGCUUGGAAAGCGUGUAGGGUGUCAAAACCCUCGUGGGUUCGAAUCCCAUCCCCUCCUCCA
rnacentral:tRNA from 1 species